GAUGAACGCUGGCGGCGUGCCUAAUACAUGCAAGUCGAGCGAACAGAUGAGGAGCUGGCGCGUCUGACGUUGGCGGGGGACGGGAGAGGAACACGUGGACGACCUACCUAUAAGACAGGGAUAACAACGGGAAACCGGAGCUAAGGCCGGAAAAUAUAUUGAACCGCGUGGUGCACUAGUGGAAGACGGUUUUUCGUAGAGUUAUAGAUGGAUCCGGGCCGGAUCAGUUAGUGGGUAAGGUAACGGCUUAGCAAGGCAACGAUGCGUAGCCGACCUGAGAGCGUGAUCGCCCACCCUGGAACUGAGACACGGUCCACACUCCGGCGGGGGGACGCAGUAGGGACUCUUACGCGAUGCACGAGUGCCUGACGGUGCACCGCCGCGGGAGUCCUGAUGGUCUUCGGCUCGUAGAGCUCUGUUAUUCGGAGAGAACUAAUGUGUAAGUACCUAUGCUCGUCUUGACGGUACCUAGUCAGAAAGCCCCGGCUAACUCCGUG
rnacentral:rRNA from 1 species